AUACAAAGCCUUGAUCAAAAGCUCCGUGUGAAGGUGUAUGAUCGAGACUUAACCAAGUCUGAUUUCAUGGGUUCUGCAUUUGUCGUUCUCAGAGAUCUUGAACUUAACAGGACUACAGAGCACAUUUUAAAAUUGGAAGAUCCAAACAGUUUAGAAGACGACAUGGGAGUGAUUGUGUUAAAUUUGAACCUAGUUGUAAAACAGGGUGAUUUCAAGAGGCAUGUAAGUGUGGACCUUUCUGUUUAAACUCUCCAUGGUGACAUCUUCUUGAGGACUGUCCAGCAGACAGGAUGACUGUCAAUCGUAUAUUAAGGGGGAGAAGUAAACUGUUUGCAUUAAUGUCAAUGUGUGGUUAUGCACCUUCUCUGUCGUGAACCACUGGACAGACAACCUAGGUAAUAAGAAGUUACCUGGCUCAAUUAGGUAUGGUUAAGAUUGCCAUUCAACUCAUAGAAUGUCUUGCCUGGAUAAACAAACCCUUGGAAAUAUAGUUUUCUUAGGUAUCAGAGUUUCCCUUUAGUCGUUCUUAGCUUCUGUGUGACUUUCACACAUUCAGUGAUGCAAUCAGUUCCCAGAAUUUAAUGUUUACAUCAUAGAUUCUGAGAUGAGCAAGUGUCCACUUACAGCACGUCGAGGCCUUUGCCUUCUUUCUUUCCUUGCUGUUGCUUUUAGCUGCUGACUUUUCUACCACGUGUGCAUUUGUGAGAACGCAAAUUUUAAUGUUCGCUCGUCUACCACAUGGCAAUUUCUCAUUAGCACACUAUAUAGUGGCAAUGUCUGCACCAUCAUCGAAGCAUUUGAUUUUGUUAAGAUAAGAUAGAAAGUCUGCUCUUACAAGUAAACAUGCUGAUGAAGAUUAUAAUCUCAUUUUCAUAUUCAUGGAUUGAACAUUAUAAUUCCAAUCAUUAAAAUAAGAACACAGUGUGUUUGAUUACAAUUUACUGAAAGAUUAAAAAAAAAAAGCUAAAAGAGUGACAGGAGAAAGAAUAUUUGUGUUACAUUUGAACCUGUAUAGAAUCCAAUAUGAAAAUCUGAAGCCUGUUCACAAGUUAGGCUUCUAAUAAUACCUUCUAAGUUAAAGUAAAUAUUCCUCAUUUUAGCUGUUGCUUAAUCUUUCUGUUGGAAUUUAUUUCAUAAUGAAGACCAUAUCUAAUUUACUAGUAAACUCUCAGAAGCUAGCUUAAAGUUAUAGGAAAAGUGUACUGAAAUUGUUUUUUAAUUGCUAGAGUGUCUAGUAAACAUUAGAUUUUAAAAUUUGAAAUCCUUAAUUUAAUUUCCUUGAAAGUGACAGACUAAAAUUCUAUAUAUAGAUAAACAUACACAUUUGGGACCUCAAUGAAACUGUCACUCGGAUGAAGACGAGCCUUGUCUUCUCUGUCCCUUCUACCUGGGACUUUUCUUUAACUUCUUUUUUUUUUUUUUCUGUCUUGUUGUGGUUAGUUCAGAAUCUGUGCCCCCAGAUCCACUAUCCAAGUGUAUAGAAGGUGGCAGGUAACUUGAGAUGGGUGCUAGGCUAAAUUUAUACAUGAUAUGAAUAAGUAUUCGAGCCAGGCGCCCAGGGUGGAACACUUAACAGCCAUUGUGUUCUUACAAUUUCUUUGGUGACUUUUGUAAAGUUGGUUUCUCUCAUGAAAGUGGCUGCACCUUUUGAGUUUUUAUACGUCUCACUAGACCUGUGUUCAGCAAUCCUAUUGCAUUUCAGCUGCAUUUCCGAACCACCACUUUUGGAAUUUUAAAGGAAUAGCAGUUUGAUUUCCAUUUAUCUCACACUGCAAAACAAUUAAUGUUAGAAGCAGCUUGGAUUUGCACUUGUGAUGCAUCUGGAACUCUGUCUUUUCAAGGUUCAAAGAGCAUCCUCUGUCUUCAUCUAACUUAGCCUGGCCUCUCUUAGUAUUUGAGCCCCAUUUGCUGCCUCCUCUGUUGAGGUUGUUAGAAUCUCUGCUUACUGUGUGCUCGCCUUAUGCCCAAUAGAAGCCAACUCUACAGUGCAUUAUAUAUACUCUGAAAGCAGAAUCACACAGAGCAUUGCCUGUCUCAUUUAUUUUGCAUUAUAAUUUCUUUAUCUAAGCAUUACCAGUGGGUCAAUAAUGGAGAGAUGAUUUUUUUUUUUGAGCCAUAAAGAGUUAUUCUACUUAUAGGACUAUCACAGUCCAUUUGGGUAUACUAAAUAGAAAACAAAAUCCUUUUCUUUUUAUUAAUAUUAAGUGGAUAAUAAAUGGUGUUUUCAUUCGGGGUUUUUAACGUGGAAAUGACUUUCCCUUGGACCAGGAGGGCAGUGGAUUUAUGUCAUUAGUAUGCUUGGCUUAUACAUUUCUGCUAAUGUGUACACUGUGGAGGAUUUCAGGUUCAGAAUCUUAGUUUUGUACCCGUUUUUCUUGCUAACAGUGAGUCAUGUUUUAUGGCUUUAGAACCAAAGUGACAAUGACAUUCUUGAGAUGUGCAGCUUGUGCCUGUGCUGGCUGUCUAGCAGGGUGAACUUGGCCCUGACUGGAAGGCUGAGAGAAAGGGAAAAGAAUAGGGUCAUAAUUAGAAUUGUGGGCUUUGUCGGCAAAUGUCUAUGCUUGGCUCCUGGAUCUACCGAGACUCUGUCAAAUCUACAGGCUUAUUUAACCUCUCUGAGGUGUUUCCCUCAUAUGUGGGUAAGAGUGAGGGCACCAUCGUGGGCAUUGGCAUGACCAUAGCAUAAUAAUGGCAUGAUUAACUACGGGUGCCAGACCUGGUAGAAAUCCAAUGUAUGUGGUAGCUUGUAGCAUUAUAGUAAGGUAGAUAUCAUGUUAAUAACCUAGCCUGUUUUAUCUUUAUCUUCUGUGAUUGCUACAGGAAAUAAAGUAUUU
rnacentral:lncRNA from 1 species